rnacentral:lncRNA from 1 species
CAAAGUGACAAUUUUUUUUUAGCUAGAGGGGCUCCUGGAUGGCUCAGUUAUUUGAGCCUCCAACUUCAGCUCAGGUCAUGAUCUCACAGUUGGUGAGUUCCAACCCCACAUAAGGCUCACUGCUGUCAGCCUGUUAGCCUGCAGCCUGCUUCGGAUCCUCUGUCCCCCUCUCUGUGCUCCUCCCCAGCUUGUGCUCACCCCAAAAUAAAUAAAUAGCAAAUAGUUUAUGAGACACUAGCCUAAUUAUUUGUCAUGUAUAAGAGCUGAUUGCACCUCAGGGCCUUGGGCAAAGCCUCCUGUGCAUCUGACAUCCUCUAGUCCUCACAAGAAUCCUGUGAGGUGUAAACAGUGUUACAAUACCUAUUUUACACAUGAAUGGACCCAGGAAUUCUUUUUGGGGAGAAGAAUGAAUGAAGUUACUUUUCUAAGCUUGUUUAGCCAGGAAACCGGUGAAGCCAUGUUUCAAACCCAGGCAGUCCCUUGCUAUUUCAGCUCCCUGGUUCCGUGGCUCAUUUUUCAAUGAUGACAAAAUAGGUGCACUAAUGAUUUUACUUCAUUGUGAGGACUGAGAAGGAAACAAAAGUAUCUAAAAAUCUAAACCAGCCUUGUUCUUUCUCAUCAUUCAUUUUCACCUAAUAAGUUUCAGGAUAUGUAGGCGUCAAGCACUGCUCCAGAAACUGGGAUACAAGUACAAACAUGGCCCCUGUGAAGUCUCAUGGAGUCCAUGAAUUGUAGCAAUUCUGGGAUACAUGUAACAGUGCAAGGGCACACAAUUUACAGUAGCUAUUUUGACAGGCAGCUGGAGCAGGGGUUGGGGUCUCAGCAGGGGAGUCACUUCAGAAAACCUUCAUGGACUACUGUGCAUUUAAUCCACGUCUUGAAAUGUUGGUCCUUUUUUUCUAGAUAAACAAAGGUGGGCGACAGGGAAAGAAGUUUGCAAGUUACAGAAAUGAAAAAUAUGAAGGCAAGAAGAUGUUCUAAAAGAGCAGAUGUUUUCAAAGAACUGAAUUUAUCAGAAUGUCCGGGAUGGCAAGGAUUUACAGAGCGCUUUUCUAAGUCCGAGGCCACACAAAUGUGGUACCUGAAGGGGAAAAUCUGCCUUGGAGAAAUCAAGCUGAUAUUCAGGGGUGUCACUUCAUUUUAGUUAUUUGACAGCCUGAAGAAGUGUUUAAUUUUCUAAAUAACGUUACAAACCAAACUAAAGGGAAAACAUGUGGUAUAAAGCUUUUCAACAUUGUCCGUCUUCUGACGGGUGAAGUCUUCUUGAGAAAGUACCUUUGCCCAAUAAUACUGCUCCUCGGCCAAGAGUUGUAAUGUCCAUGGACAUUAUAAGGAACUAUAAAUGUUAGAAGGCUAGAGGAAUACAUUUGGCAAGAUAAAGGAAAAUAUCUCAGGAUGUAAGUAGUCUCUGACCCUUAAUUUUUCUUCAUGUUUUAUCAUGUAAAGAUGGCAUUACUUAUAGUGACUGUUAAUGUAUUAACAUUUCCUUGAAAAUGGAUAUUAAUCUGCUAUUAGGUUUCCUUUGUAGGAAUGUUUUACUUAGCUGUAUGAUGAAGGGAGAGCAGGGUAAUAGAGAGAUAAUAAGCUUUUCAGAUGGGCGGAUCUACCACUUAGAAAGGACCCUUGGGCAAGACAUAUAAACUCUUCGGAACUCAACUAGAUUUACUCAAAUUUAAGAAUGAGAACAAUAGUAUAUACUUCGAAAUGUUUCAGAGAAAGGUCUAUCCUAAUGCCUGCAGUAUAAAUUCCAAUAAAGAUUCUUUAAUUUCAUUUUUCA